GGACGUGACUCAAUGGCAAGUUAAGUCGUCCACUGUGCUGGUAACGCAGACCGUCACAUCCUACCCGACACCACACCUCAUCACCACAACGCAGAAGCUGACAGGCACCAGGUAUGUCACACAGAUGCAGUUCCAGACAGAAACAAAAUACAUAACGAAAACAGAGUCGAAGACAUAUACGGACACAGCAGUUGUCACGGACUAUGCUACCAGGACCCGCCCAGUCACGUCUCUAUACACCGUCACUGCCACCCUCACAUCCACCCAUCUCCAGAGAGACACUUUCGUAGUUACCGCCACCAAGUAUCAAUAUGUGACCCAGACUGAGCGUGUGCCAUACUACUUGACCCGGACGGUCACCUCCCAGUAUGUGGUGUAUGAGACCUACACCCACACCAGUGUUGAGGACGAAUUCGUUACCCAAACAUCCUUCGCCUUCCAAUCCUCAUUUGUCACGCGCUGCUCACUCCGAACCACCCCUACUACUCACUACCAAGGUUAAACCACUCUGCACCAUCUCAACAACAACUACAUUGCACCAACUCAUCACCCACAACCCCCCUAGGCUAGGUCACUCCACACCUAACCAUCCUCUAGGCUAGGUCACUAUCUGUAUCAAUCACCAUGAAACCUAGGUACCAUCACUGGGGCCACAGUCCACUAUGGUUAUGAAAAAUAUACAUCCAUCACUAAUCCUACUAAUGUCAUUAAGGCCAUACUCCGCCAGGCCCACUAGCAGUAACUAGAGUAUCAGCUUCAAAUCUAAAAGAUUGACUGCUUCCAUCACUUUUAUCAUCGGUAGAUGACUUUAUUCUGCACUAGCCUGACUGCAGGUUCACAGAGUAGGAAAUUUGAGUUUUCUCAUAUGCUUCAGAGAACUAACCUGAGAGUUUUUUGAUGGUUUCUGUGUUACUAGGAGAGUGUAAUAUUAGGUCUUCCCAUGGCCUGUUGAUUAUUUCAGUUAUUUCGUGUUGGUAUUUUAGUAAUUUUUGGUAUUAAUUCUUAGAUAUAAAUGACAAUAUUCCUCUUGUCACUUUUUUUAGUCCAACUAUCACAGGAUAUAAGUAAUAUUCUUUAGGAAUCUGGUAAUAUAUUAGUUUUAAGUGCUGCUGCUCUUUGUAAAUACCCUGUAAGUUGUACUCAUUUAAGUUGUAUUAGAUGUAAAUAAUGCGUAGUUUUACAAGUUGCACAUUUUUUAGAAUAAAUUAAUAUUCUGCCUU